UACGGAGGGAGCUAGCGUUAUUCGGAAUUACUGGGCGUAAAGCGCACGUAGGCGGCUUUGUAAGUUAGAGGUGAAAGCCUGGAGCUCAACUCCAGAAUUGCCUUUAAGACUGCAUCGCUUGAAUCCAGGAGAGGUGAGUGGAAUUCCGAGUGUAGAGGUGAAAUUCGUAGAUAUCAGGAGGAACACCUGCGGUGUAGACGGCUUACUGGAC
rnacentral:rRNA from 1 species